rnacentral:lncRNA from 1 species
ACCGGCUGCUAUCUGAAUAGACAAUCGGACAAUUUAUUUAUUUUUAUUAUUAUGUUUUCUUCUUGGGCCUCUAUAACUAUAUCUAUUGUUUUUAUUUUUGUUGUUGUUGUGUGAUUUGGAUUAAUCCCCUCUACCACACGGAACCACACUAAUCUACUGACGGAACGCAAGAGGUGGCUAACAACAGACCUCCAUCCUAUGCUAGCUUGCUACCGAUGGCCUGGCUAGCUGUCUAAAUCGCCGUGACCCCCAACCAACAUCUCCACUCACUGGACCCUUUUGAUCACUCGACUAAGCAUGCCUCUCCUUAAUGUCAAUAUGUCUUGUCCAUUGCUGUUCUGGUUAGUGUUUAUUGGCUUAUUUCACUGUAGAGCCUCUAGUCCUGCUCACUAUACCUUAUCCAACCUAUUAGUUCCACCACCCACACAUGCAAUGACAUCUCCUGCUUUCAAUGAUGUUUCUAGAGACAAUCUCUCUCUCUUCAUCACUCAAUACCUAGGUUUACCUCCACUGUAUUCACAUCCUACCAUACCUUUGUCUGUACAUUAUACCUUGAUGCUAUUUUAUCGCCCCCAGAAACCUCCUUUUACUCUCUGUUCCAGACGUUCUAGACGACCAAUUCUUAUUGCUUUUAGCCGCACCCUUAUUCUACUCCUCCUAUGUUCCUCUGGCGAUGUAGAGGUGAAUCCAGGCCCUGCAGUGCCUAGCUCCACUCCUAUUCCCCAGGCGCUCUCUUGUGACGACUUCUGUAACCGUAAUAGCCUUGGUUUCAUGCAUGUUAACAUUAGAAGCCUCCUCCCUAAGUUUGUUCUAUUCACUGCCUUAGCACACUCUGCCAACCCGGAUGUUCUAGCUGUGUCUGAAUCCUGGUUUAGGAAGACCACCAAAAAUUCAGACAUUUUAAUUCCAAACUACAACAUUUUCAGACAAGAUAGAACUGCCAAAGGGGGCGGUGUUGCAAUCUACUGCAAAGAUAGCCUGCAGAGUUCUGUCCUACUAUCCAGGUCUGUACCCAAACAAUUUGAACUUCUACUUUUAAAAAUCCACCUCUCUAAAACAAGUCUCUCACCGUUGCCGCCUGCUAUAGACCACCCUCUGCCCCCAGCUGUGCUCUGGACACCAUAUGUGAAC